ACAGAUGCCGUCUGCUUUUCCGUUACACUGAACGAGUCCACUCGCAUAGGACAAGUUAGAUCAAACCGUAAAGUAUGAAGUUACACGGGGCUUUUAGGGGAGAAGGAGAAGGCAGCUGCAUCGAGGAGGAGAUAAGGUUCCAAGACUAAAAACCCUUCUCCGUUGUCCUUCAUUUCUACAAAACAUAAAAAUCCCCUUUGAAGAAAACACAAAUUUGCGAAAAAUAGGUCAUUUUGAGAAGGGCGGUUCAAACGAAAUUGCGACCUGGAAAGGAAGCGACAGUCCGAGUUUCAGAUGUUGCGAAAUAUAUAGGACGAAAUAAGGCAAAACUUUUGGUGAGGGUGGAAUUAGGAAUGGCGUGAAAUCCCUAAUCAAAUCAUCUUCCUCACACCGCCAAAUGGAUGCAGGGCAUUUUUGUGCUUAGAGUGCUUGUAGUAUGAGGCUGGCGGGGAUGGAGGACACGGCGGAGCUGCUGGAGAAGAAGCAAGCGUCGGAAAUUUCAAAGAUGAGCUUAGAGGAGGCACUCACUCUCGCUCGUGCUUUAAGCCAUUACCUCAAUUUGAUGGGCAUUGCUGAAGUUCAUCACAGGUCACUGAACGACUUGGGAAAAAAAAAAGGUUAAAUUUCAUAUAUCUCUUAGUGACAUAUUUUACAACCAAUCGACUCUUGCUUGCUUCAUCAUCAGUAGUAGCAACUCUUAAUCCCCAAUCUAUGAAUUAACUCCCGCUUUCUUCAUCAUCUGUCAAUUUGUUAGUCUAUGGUUGGUGAAUGAAUUUUGGCAGGCAAUGUUGUUUUUGAUUUAGAGUUUCUGUCUGAAUUGUCAUAGUUUUGUUUGAUUUGGAAUGUAACUGGAAUAUUUUCAGCAUUGUAUUUGAUUUUUGAUUAUCAUGAAUCUUUGCCUUUUGGUUUUUUAUGAUGUAUUAGCUGGUAUACUUGAUAUGCUAAAACAAAUUUUGAGGGGAUCAUGGAUCAUUUUGUGUUGCAGCUCUUCAUGCUUUGUCAAACUUUCAUUGUUUUUUUAUUUAUGUGAGUAUAGUCAAUCUUAUUGACUAAUUGGAGGUCCUGGAUUAUGUGUGGUUGCUACAGAUAAGAGAGUUGGCUCUUUAAUAGAUGCAUGUGCAAUUAUUACUUGAUCCUUAGAACACAUAGAAAGUUCAAGUAUUUCUUUCGGUCAGCAUAUUAUUGGUGUUCCCAUUUCUCUUGAAUAUAUAUAUAUAUAUAUAUAUAUAUAUAUAUAUAUAGAUCAAUAUUCGUUAUGGGUUUUACUUCUGUUUGUUGUACCGAAGAGGUUGUGAUUAACUUGUGAUUAACUUCUAUGUUUUAUUUUCCAUGGUUCUGUUUGUUCUGUUGAUUUUAUAUAGUGUUAGAAGGCAUGUUUGGAAACACAUUACAGUGGUUUAAUACAAGUGUUAAUGAUAUUUUGUUAUGGUUUCUGCAAUAGCUACUGAAAUUGUUUCAGUUCAUAUUAGUUAGUAGUGAGCCACUCAUAAACUUUUUUCAAUAAAUCAUUUUCUUGAGAUUCAUUUUGUCACUUCAUGUGUCCAACAAUCCAUAUAAACUCUGCUUUGUACUGACAACUCAGAGGAAUUUAGGUAGUGUUUUAAAAUGUUUUAGACUGUAUAGAGAAGCAGCACUGUAGAGUAAUCAAUGACUAUGCAAAGCUGUUUGAGUUUUUAUUUCUUAUUUGUGUACUUUUGUUGUUCUUGGAAUUCAAACAAAGCAUGUGAGUUGUGAAUUGGCUUUUCUAAUUUAGUAUUUCAUAUUUCGCAUUGCUUAGGGUUUAGAAUAGGAAGUGCUUUACUACAUAUUUAGCUUUACCAAUGUGUACUGGUUUUGUCAUGCUGCUAUAGAAUAUGUACUCCAAAGUGGAUUUGAUUCUGUUGGUCAUGAACAAACUAAAAUGUCUUGGGACUGCUAUUAGUUUCUUCAAAAUAUUUUAAGUUUGAAUUACUGUACAUAUAUAAUUAAACAUGCUUUCAAUUACUGUCUUCAUAUGCAAGUUCAAUGUUUUACAUUAUGAGAAGGAGAUUUUUUUGGUUUAAAGUAUGAGAAUGUGAGAAUUUUGAAGUAGUUGUCUAUUUGCUUAUUAUUUGCUGUGUUUACCUUGCGACAAAUCAGCCAUAUUUGUUACUGUUGUGACAGAGUUUGUUUGUUGGAAUGAAGAAGCAAUCACCAGAUGCACUUUCUUCUCAUCCCAAGUAAUAUUUGUUCUUUCAAGCAAUGGUAGAUUUUCUACUCAAGAGUUUUAAACAUGUAUCUCAUUAUCUGGUUUACUAGGGGUUGAGGAAAUUAUUUGGUCAGUAUCUUCUAAAGUUGGUAUUUUUCCCCCAAGUUUUCUUUUGAACGUUUGCCAUUGUUGUCUUUUCAAAAUAAUGUUGAUCUAAUAUGCUUACUUAGGACUACAUGCAUAUAGCCAUGCAUAUCGCCUGAGCGUAACUAAUUAAUACAGAGACUUAGAAUAUUCUUAUUCUGGAAUAAGCCUUUGCUGGCUAACUAUUCUUCGCAUAUGUCCUGACCUAUAAGGAACCUUAUUAAAAAAGGAAUAUGAGGUCUGCUAGCUCCUUCAUAUCAGCAAAAGUAUUGUGUAGGCUUUGUUUCUUCAGUUUCUUUUUGGGUUUAGCUGUCUUCUUCCUGUGCCAAGCUUCUUAACUUUGCUUCGGAUUUCCAUUUUCAUUUGUUUGUUUUAUUGUGUUUAGUAACUUUUAAGGAGGUGAAUCUCAACUGGAUAAUCUCAUUAGGCACCAGAAGAUUGUAUCUUUCUGGCGAGUCCUUGUUAUUUUAUAUUUCUCUUUUGUAUCGGUAUGCAUGUAUUUGUAUUUAUAUUUUCUGUGCUUAUGGCUAGGGGAUAAAUCGAAUAAGUGCUAUCUUUGUUUAUAGCUUGACUGUUUGAAAUAUGACUCAGUGAAAAUGAGGGAGUUGGAAAUUAGAAAUCGGUAUUGUAGACGUACAUGUGUCAAUGAGCAUACUUAAAUUGUUUCAAUUCACUAUCAUGCCUUAUUUGAGUGAUACAUGAAAUUUUCUUCUGUAUAGACUAUUUUUUAUUACAAAUUUCAGUUUAUCAUUUGGUGAUUAACAUUUUUAGCCUUUUGCUUAUUUCUAGCCCUUGCAAUUUGAUUAAUUUGCAAUAUAUUUGCACAGGGUUGUUUCAGUAAGGAUCAAAGAACUUGCAGUUUUAUAUCAAUCACUUAAUCUUCAGUGAUAGGGAAGCUAACAUUGAACCAGCAAUGUCAUCACAUACGGUGCUCAACCCAACAAGCAGAAAACUGACUGAAGCAGCAUGUCAUUGCAAUUCUUGGAUUUUUGUUUAGAUAUUACUGAAGCAAGCAAUUUUUUGAUAGGCUAACACGUUUUGUUUAUAUACACCUAGACCAACUAGAACAACUACUUUUUGGAAAAUAUUCCAGCAACAACUGUAAAUAAGUAAACCUUGGAUAGCCUAUUUUUUGAACACUCCACUAUGAUAAGAUCAUCCUUUGUUUUAGAUCUGCAGUAAUGAAAACAGUUCUAUCAUUUAUACUCA